UAAGACGAACCGUACGAACGUUAUUCGGAAUCACUGGGCUUAAAGGGUGCGUAGGCGGUGCGGAAAGUUGGGUGUGAAAUCCCUCGGCUCAACCGAGGAAUUGCGCCCAAAACUACCGUGCUAGAGGGAGACAGAGGUGAGUGGAACUUAGGGUGGAGCGGUGAAAUGCGUUGAUAUCCUAAGGAACACCAGUGGCGAAAGCGACUCACUGGGUCUCUUCUGACGCUGAGGCACGAAAGCUAGGGGAGCAAACGGGAUUAGAUACCCCGGUAGUCCUAGCUGUAAACGAUGAGCACUGGGUUGGAGGGCCCUCCAUAGCCUUCCAGCCGAAGCGAAAGUAUUUAGUGCUCCGCCUGGGGAGUAUGGUCGCAAGGCUG
rnacentral:rRNA from 1 species